rnacentral:misc_RNA from 1 species
AACGCAUCUUGCACCCUUUGGUAUUCCAAAGGGUACGCCUGUUUCAGUAUCAUUAUAACCUUUCUCCCCAAGGCUUUUGGCCAAGGAGGGAAAGAGCAUAACCGGUGGCCCAGCGGUCUCCCAUCAGGGGGAUUGUCUCGGCUGGAAUUACUGUUGCAAUGGUGGGCCAAAUGGUCUCCCGCACUUGAUAAAUGUACUUUUAUAAAGAGCGGGGCCGGUCUGCCGAAAGUUGUAACUAACCCUUUACCUUUGAUCUGAAAUCAGGCGGGAUUACCCGCUGAACUUAA